UUUUUAGACCUUCCUGGAGGAGCUUGCCAUCUAACCGAUAACCCACGAAAAACCUCACCAGCUUUUGAAAACCCAACAUGUAUACCAUCGUCGUCAGUCUACCUCUCAAGAGAAGUAUACUUAAUGAGAACACUCACUACGUCAGAUCGAGGUGCAGCUUAUAAGCUGGGGAUAGGUGAGCUACAAUACCACCCCAAACCCCCCCCCUAAACCCAACUAUGGACAAUCUAAUGAAAACUUAAAUUCGAAAAAGGAUUCAGUAGUAAUACCCACAAGAAAAUGAGUAUGAAAAUCACUAGCUCUAAAAUGCGC
rnacentral:rRNA from 1 species